AAUUUGAUCACACGGAUCACUUUGAUAUCGGAACCUAUCAGACAGCAGCAAAGCUCUGCUCCUGUUUCAGAGGUUUAAAUCACAAGGCUCUGUGCCAAGUUAUUACACUUUCACAAGCUUAGUGUAGCUGCUUUCUCUAAGAGGGUUUAAUAAGAACAUUGAGUUAGCUAAUGCAUUCAUCUACAUGUAUGCUAAUGCAAUCUCUUCGAAAUUGCAGAGAAGAGGAAUCUUGUAUCUUAGACUUCAAUGAUGAUUGGUAUCACAAGGAAAGGAGUAGAUGCUGUUGGGCUUUUCGAUGAAACGGUUGGUUACAGUAACAGACCAGACCGGAUUGUUUCCAUGGUGGUUCUGAGCGGUGCCGCCAUGCCAGUCUAAUGGAGAAAGGAGUGAAGUUAUCUGUUAUCAGACAAUUUUGAUGAUCAAGAAGCCGGAACUUGAAAGUGAUACACAAAGAUGAAAAUUUGGUUUGUGUUUUAAGUUACCCGUUAUAUGAUUCUCCACCGUUCUUUUUUUUUGCACAUUCAAGAUGGCGUUUAAGAUCACACGCAAACGAGGUAUGAAUGAUUGUUGAAACUACCCAGAAUCUGAAAAUGGGUGAGAAUCUUUCUUGAUUUAACAACCAUUACUGGACAAAUCUCUCUCUUUUCAUAGAUACGGUAACGAAGAGUGGUCAUACUUACUAAAGAACAAAGAUCGCUAUACCUUUAGAUGAGGUAUGGCUAACAUUGAUAUCAGGAC
rnacentral:lncRNA from 1 species